rnacentral:rRNA from 1 species
GAUGAACGCUGGCGGCGUGCCUAAUACAUGCAAGUCGAGCGAAGCGGGGACGGGUGAGUAACACGUGGAUAACCUCCUAUAAGACUGGGAUAACUUCGGGAACCCUGUGCUAAUCCGGCUACUUUUAGCUUGAUCCGCGCUGCAUUAGCUAUUUGGUAAGGUAACGGCUUACCAAGGCAACGAUGCAUAGCCGACCUGAGAGGGUGAUCGGCCACACUGGAACGGAGACACGGUCCAGACUCCUACGGGAGGCAGCAGUAGGGAAGCUUCCGCAAUGGGCGAAAGCCUGACGGAGCAACGCCGCGUGAGUGAUGAAGGUCUUCGGAUCGUAAAACUCUGUUAUUAGGGAAGCGGUACCUAAUCAGAAAGCCACGGCUAACUACGUGCCAGCAGCCGCGGUAAUUC